rnacentral:rRNA from 1 species
GGGUUGUGAGGUUAAGCGACUAAGCGUACACGGUGGAUGCCCUGGCAGUCAGAGGCGAUGAAGGACGUGCUAAUCUGCGAUAAGCGUCGGUAAGGUGAUAUGAACCGUUAUAACCGGCGAUUUCCGAAUGGGGAAACCCAGUGUGAUUCGUCACACUAUCAUUAACUGAAUCCAUAGGUUAAUGAGGCGAACCGGGGGAACUGAAACAUCUAAGUACCCCGAGGAAAAGAAAUCAACCGAGAUUCCCCCAGUAGCGGCGAGCGAACGGGGAGCAGCCCAGAGCCUGAAUCAGUGUGUGUGUUAGUGGAAGCGUCUGGAAAGGCGUGCGAUACAGGGUGACAGCCCCGUACACAAAAAUGCACAUGCUGUGAGCUCGAUGAGUAGGGCGGGACACGUGGUAUCCUGUCUGAAUAUGGGGGGACCAUCCUCCAAGGCUAAAUACUCCUGACUGACCGAUAGUGAACCAGUACCGUGAGGGAAAGGCGAAAAGAACCCCGGCGAGGGGAGUGAAAAAGAACCUGAAACCGUGUACGUACAAGCAGUGGGAGCACGCUUAGGCGUGUGACUGCGUACCUUUUGUAUAAUGGGUCAGCGACUUAUAUUCUGUAGCAAGGUUAACCGAAUAGGGGAGCCGAAGGGAAACCGAGUCUUAACUGGGCGUUAAGUUGCAGGGUAUAGACCCGAAACCCGGUGAUCUAGCCAUGGGCAGGUUGAAGGUUGGGUAACACUAACUGGAGGACCGAACCGACUAAUGUUGAAAAAUUAGCGGAUGACUUGUGGCUGGGGGUGAAAGGCCAAUCAAACCGGGAGAUAGCUGGUUCUCCCCGAAAGCUAUUUAGGUAGCGCCUCGUGAAUUCAUCUCCGGGGGUAGAGCACUGUUUCGGCAAGGGGGUCAUCCCGACUUACCAACCCGAUGCAAACUGCGAAUACCGGAGAAUGUUAUCACGGGAGACACACGGCGGGUGCUAACGUCCGUCGUGAAGAGGGAAACAACCCAGACCGCCAGCUAAGGUCCCAAAGUCAUGGUUAAGUGGGAAACGAUGUGGGAAGGCCCAGACAGCCAGGAUGUUGGCUUAGAAGCAGCCAUCAUUUAAAGAAAGCGUAAUAGCUCACUGGUCGAGUCGGCCUGCGCGGAAGAUGUAACGGGGCUAAACCAUGCACCGAAGCUGCGGCAGCGACACUGUGUGUUGUUGGGUAGGGGAGCGUUCUGUAAGCCUGCGAAGGUGUGCUGUGAGGCAUGCUGGAGGUAUCAGAAGUGCGAAUGCUGACAUAAGUAACGAUAAAGCGGGUGAAAAGCCCGCUCGCCGGAAGACCAAGGGUUCCUGUCCAACGUUAAUCGGGGCAGGGUGAGUCGACCCCUAAGGCGAGGCCGAAAGGCGUAGUCGAUGGGAAACAGGUUAAUAUUCCUGUACUUGGUGUUACUGCGAAGGGGGGACGGAGAAGGCUAUGUUGGCCGGGCGACGGUUGUCCCGGUUUAAGCGUGUAGGCUGGUUUUCCAGGCAAAUCCGGAAAAUCAAGGCUGAGGCGUGAUGACGAGGCACUACGGUGCUGAAGCAACAAAUGCCCUGCUUCCAGGAAAAGCCUCUAAGCAUCAGGUAACAUCAAAUCGUACCCCAAACCGACACAGGUGGUCAGGUAGAGAAUACCAAGGCGCUUGAGAGAACUCGGGUGAAGGAACUAGGCAAAAUGGUGCCGUAACUUCGGGAGAAGGCACGCUGAUAUGUAGGUGAAGUCCCUCGCGGAUGGAGCUGAAAUCAGUCGAAGAUACCAGCUGGCUGCAACUGUUUAUUAAAAACACAGCACUGUGCAAACACGAAAGUGGACGUAUACGGUGUGACGCCUGCCCGGUGCCGGAAGGUUAAUUGAUGGGGUCAGCGCAAGCGAAGCUCUUGAUCGAAGCCCCGGUAAACGGCGGCCGUAACUAUAACGGUCCUAAGGUAGCGAAAUUCCUUGUCGGGUAAGUUCCGACCUGCACGAAUGGCGUAAUGAUGGCCAGGCUGUCUCCACCCGAGACUCAGUGAAAUUGAACUCGCUGUGAAGAUGCAGUGUACCCGCGGCAAGACGGAAAGACCCCGUGAACCUUUACUAUAGCUUGACACUGAACAUUGAGCCUUGAUGUGUAGGAUAGGUGGGAGGCUUUGAAGUGUGGACGCCAGUCUGCAUGGAGCCGGCCUUGAAAUACCACCCUUUAAUGUUUGAUGUUCUAACGUUGACCCGUGAUCCGGGUUGCGGACAGUGUCUGGUGGGUAGUUUGACUGGGGCGGUCUCCUCCUAAAGAGUAACGGAGGAGCACGAAGGUUGGCUAAUCCUGGUCGGACAUCAGGAGGUUAGUGCAAUGGCAUAAGCCAGCUUGACUGCGAGCGUGACGGCGCGAGCAGGUGCGAAAGCAGGUCAUAGUGAUCCGGUGGUUCUGAAUGGAAGGGCCAUCGCUCAACGGAUAAAAGGUACUCCGGGGAUAACAGGCUGAUACCGCCCAAGAGUUCAUAUCGACGGCGGUGUUUGGCACCUCGAUGUCGGCUCAUCACAUCCUGGGGCUGAAGUAGGUCCCAAGGGUAUGGCUGUUCGCCAUUUAAAGUGGUACGCGAGCUGGGUUUAGAACGUCGUGAGACAGUUCGGUCCCUAUCUGCCGUGGGCGCUGGAGAACUGAGGGGGGCUGCUCCUAGUACGAGAGGACCGGAGUGGACGCAUCACUGGUGUUCGGGUUGUCAUGCCAAUGGCACUGCCCGGUAGCUAAAUGCGGAAGAGAUAAGUGCUGAAAGCAUCUAAGCACGAAACUUGCCCCGAGAUGAGUUCUCCCUGACUCCUUGAGAGUCCUGAAGGAACGUUGAAGACGACGACGUUGAUAGGCCGGGUGUGUAAGCGCAGCGAUGCGUUGAGCUAACCGGUACUAAUGAACCGUGAGGCUUAACCUUACAACGCCGAAGCUGUU